rnacentral:lncRNA from 15 species
AGCCACCCCCAAACUAAAUUCACCAAAACUGAAACCAUUUCUGUUUUUGUCCAGAUUCUGUCACAUCAACUUGCUUUACUGUGACCUACGCUAAAGGGAGAAUGUGUUCUUAUAAGCAGACAUCAGAGGAUGAGCCCUGCUCCAUCACAUAUCCCAGAGACCUACAAGUUCAAAAGACUCCUGAUCAGACCUGUGUCAAACUGACCUGCAGCACCAGCUGUCCUCUGACUGACUCCCAAACUGCCUACAGGUGGCACAGAGAUGGCUACUUAAACAUAUACAUUGAGAGUGAAAACUUUUCUGUUCCAAGCUCCUUUGAUAAAAGAUUCUCCUGUGCCCUAAAAGACACAGAGGAUGUGCUCUCCGCUAAAGUCUGUCUUUAUGAUGAGAACUGUUGGAGUGUGAAUUACCGUACGUCAGCAGGAGAAUCUGUGCUCUGGAAGGAUCUUCACUGAAUAUUUCAAGUGAAUAUGUGCAUCCUGAAAACCAGCAGCCAAAUUAUAAAUUAUGGUAUAAAAUAAAAACCUGAAGAAGAACGAUUCAGCAGAAUACAAAUGCAGACUCAAGGAAGAUUUGCCUGAAGUAACUGUGAUUGUCACAGGUAACGGUACAUACAUAUAUUUCUAUGAAAAAACGUAUUUCUCCCUGACAGCUUCUCACUAGGAGCACUUGGCAGACUUUACUCAUUAACGUCUGAGAAUUUAUGCCCAUACUCUGUAGUCAAGCCUCACUCAAACCUGAUAAAUAUUUCAGGCUAGCUCACAUUAAAAAAAAUGCUAAAAUGCUUCAGCCAUGAAUUUCAGGAAUGAUACUAACAGCCAACCUACAUUAUUUCAUAAUUUAAGAGGUAUGAGGAUUUGUUAUGAUAAAGAUUUCUCUUUAACAAUGAAGAAAUGUUACCUUUUCAGGUCUGGAAGUGAAGUUUACUCCUUCUGCAGUGAUGACAGAGGGUCAGAGAGUCACACUCAAGGCUUCUGAACUUCAGCACCCUUUCAGUUCACUCUGAUGUGGACGACAAGUUUCAUAACAGUACUGAGAUUCACAAGCAGAAGCAUGGCGACAAACUUGAAGAGAAGAGCCAGAAAAGCUCAUCUGUCACUGUUUCUAGUGUGUUUAAUGUUCUGUUACUUUCUGGAUGACUUGCAGCUGUGAAUAAAAAAGUUUUUGUAAAAUCUUUUCUAAUAUAAAAAAAUAC